rnacentral:rRNA from 1 species
UACGUAGGGACCAAGCGUUGUUCGGAUUUACUGGGCGUAAAGGGCGCGUAGGCGGCUUGACAAGUCACUUGUGAAAUCUCCGGGCUUAACUCGGAACGGCCAAGUGAAACUGUCAUGCUAGAGUGCAGAAGGGGCAAUCGGAAUUCCCGGUGUAGUGGUGAAAUGCGUAGAUAUCGGGAGGAACACCAGUGGCGAAGGCGACUUCCUGGCCUGUUCUUGACGCUGAGGCGCGAAAGCUAGGGGAGCAAACGGG